CCUUAGAUCAGAAGCGAGAAUGUUGACAUGAGUAGCGACAAAGAGGGUGAGAGACCCUCUCGCCGUAAGUCCAAGGGUUCCUGCUUAAAGCUAAUCUGAGCAGGGUAAGCCGGCCCCUAAGGCGAGGCCGAAAGGCGUAGUCGAUGGGAACCACGUUAAUAUUCGUGGGCCAGGAGGAAGUGACGGAUCUCGAAGGUAGUCUGCCCUUAUCGGAUCGGGUGGGCUGCUCAGAGGUUCCAGGAAAUAGCCCUCCAUCAGACCGUACCCUAAACCGACACAGGUGGACUGGUAGAGUAUACCAAGGCGCUUGAGAGAACCACGUUAAAGGAACUCGGCAAAAUGCCUCCGUAAGUUCGCGAGAAGGAGGCCCCAUAUCUGGGCAACCAGGUGUGGGGGGCACAAACUAGGGGGUGGCGACUGUUUACUUAAAACACAGGGCUGUGCGAAGCCGUAAGGCGACGUAUACAGUCUGACGCCUGCCCGGUGCUGGAAGGUUAAAAGGAGGGGUGCAAGCUCUGAAUUGAAGCCCCAGUAAACGGCGGCCGUAACUAUAACGGUCCUAAGGUAGCGAAAUUCCUUGUCGGGUAAGUUCCGACCUGCACGAAUGGCGUAACGAUCUCCCCGCUGUCUCUAACGUGGACUCAGCGAAAUUGAACUGUGUGUCAAGAUGCACACUACCCGCGGUUAGACGGAAAGACCCCAUGCACCUUUACUCCAGCUUUGCACUGGUAUCAGGAUUGUGAUGUGCAGGACAGGUGGUAGGCAUCGAAGCGGGGACGCCAGUUCUCGUGGAGCCUCCCUUGAGAUACCACCCUUCGCCAUCUUGAUAUCUAACCGCGGCCCGUUAUCCGGGUCCGGGACCCUGCAUGGUGGGGAGUUUGACUGGGGCGGUCGCCUCCCAAACAGUAACGGAGGCGCGCGAAGGUAGGCUCAGACCGGUCGGAAAUCGGUCGUUGAGUGCAAUGGCAGAAGCCUGCCUGACUGCAAGUCUGACAAGACGAGCAGAGACGAAAGUCGGUCAUAGUGAUCCGGUGGUCCCAAGUGGGAGGGCCAUCGCUCAACGGAUAAAAGGUACGCUGGGGAUAACAGGCUGAUGAUGCCCAAGAGUCCAUAUCGACGGCAUCGUUUGGCACCUCGAUGUCGGCUCAUCUCAUCCUGGGGCUGGAGCAGGUCCCAAGGGUAUGGCUGUUCGCCAUUUAAAGAGGUACGUGAGCUGGGUUUAGAACGUCGUGAGACAGUUCGGUCCCUAUCUGCCGUGGGUGUAGGAGACUUGAGAAGAGUUGCCCCUAGUACGAGAGGACCGGGGUGAACGAACCACUGGUGGACCAGUUGUCGUGCCAACGGCAGUGCUGGGUAGCUAUGUUCGGACAGGAUAACCGCUGAAGGCAUCUAAGCGGGAAGCCCCUUCAAAACAAGGUCUCCCUUGAGAGCCGUGGAAGACCACCACGUCGAUAGGCCGGAGGUGUAAGUGCAGCAAUGCAUUCAGCUGACCGGUACUAAUUGCUCGACAGGCUUGAUUUG
rnacentral:rRNA from 1 species